UACAGAGGUCCCAAGCGUUUGUUCGGAUUCACUGGGCGUAAAGGGUGCGUAGGUGGCCAGGUAAGUUUGAUGUGAAAGCUCGGAGCUUAACUCCGAAAUGGCAUUGAAUACUAUCUGGCUUGAGGGUCGGAGGGGAGACUGGAAUUCUCGGUGUAGCAGUGAAAUGCGUAGAUAUCGAGAGGAACACCAGUGGCGAAGGCGAGUCUCUGGACGACACCUGACACUGAGGCACGAAAGCUAGGGGAGCAAACAGG
rnacentral:rRNA from 1 species